AAGUCGUAACAAGGUCUCCGUUGGUGAACCAGCGGAGGGAUCAUUACUGAGUUAACAAACUCCAAACCCAUGUGAACUUACCAAUGUUGCCUCGGCGGGGAGCUUACCCGGUACCUACCCUGUAGGCCGGUCUCCUGCGAGCCGCCGGAGGACCACCUAACUCUUGUUAUUUUGUGGCACUCUGAGUAAUUAUAUAAAUAAGUUAAAACUUUCAACAACGGAUCUCUUGGUUCUG
rnacentral:misc_RNA from 1 species